GGCAGGGGGGCGGGGGGGACAGAAGUCCUCGCACCAAGGACGGCUCUUAAGGAGGAGGAAAAGAAAUGUCAAAGGGCCACCUUUCCUUUGAGGGGGAGGUAUACGUGCUGGGGGGGAGCAACGGGAGAGGCCAGAAGGGGGUACUCCUGUACUGCGAGUUGCUUUGGACUUCCUUCUGUCUGGGAGCUUGCCCACUGUGAGCAUGGGCAGCCCAAAGCAAGGGCUGGGCAGGAACAGCUGGCUCUUAGUCUAGGCUAGUGGUCUGAAAAGAGGCAGUGCUUGCCCACACCUCCAUGAAAACUUCUUAAGCAGACACCUGCAGUAUGUGUAUAUUCAUUUAUUAACACGUAACUACAUGUACUGCAUUAUAUUUGUUUCCAAUGGCUUGUCUUUACGCUUUCCUAGUCUAAGCCUUUACCGAGCACUCGGGGUACACAGACUCCUGCAGUAAUGUGCCACGGACACUGGCAAUCGCAACAAACAUGGGGUAUCUUCAGAGAGCAUCAGUUUUACUCAGCUAUGAGUAAUUCAAAACAUCCCAAAGUAGAAAAGAAGACAGCGGCAUUAUGGAGCACAGUGCAAAAUCCACAAGAAUUUUAAAGAUCAAAUGGAAAGUUUUGGAAAAAGUUUUGUGGACAUUCUGUGCUCUGGGCCAGAUCACCAAGGUUCUAGCUCUUCUGAGCCUGAGGGCUCUUGGUGGAAACACUUGCAAAACAAUGUUCAAAGUGGAGGUGAUUACCCCAAGGAGGAGAAAGAGCUUUCAGAAACACUGAGGUGUUGGUCAGGUACCAAGGCAGAUGAUGUGCUGGUUAUUUGCAAAAGACUUGUCUUAAGAGGAACAAACCCACAGAGAAGGAAGGAAAUAUUGACUCAGCUCCUAUGUGUACCAGGCCUGUGCCAGCCACGGUGGGAAGGAUGAAGGUGGUUCCAGCAAGAGCUUGCCCAAAAGGGAAGAUCAAUAAGGAGACAGGAGAUAUACAGACACCACUGCCUUGGGGUGCAGAGGGAAGAGUCCUCCUGGAACACAGGGGUGGAGCAAACACUAGGUGCUAUAGGACUUCCAAGGAGGAAGAGGGGAUGCACACUGCAAACCGUCAGUGAUGAGGUUACACGUUUUCCUUAACUAACAUUUCACAAGGCUUAUAAAAAAUACUAUAACAGCAGCACAAGCUAUACUGUGGAAGGCUGGGGACUGGCAAAAGCAGAAAUGUGAUGUGUCAACUGCUUUCACCAAUGGGGUCUUAUCAGCUCAGAUGUGGGCUGUGAUGCACCCAGUCAGGCCCACAUGAGACAAGGCAACCUAGACAUUACAUGUGUCUGUAUGUUGUGCUGAUG